AGAACAGCUGGUUUCUACUGUUG
rnacentral:snRNA from 1 species